CCUGCUAUACUUUCGAUUGUAGAGUACUGCUUAAAUGGCUUCAAGGGUAAGGGGAAUUAGGCUUCGCCUGGAGAGGCCGUGAGAAAGGUACAAUCAAGGAAGGAGAGGCGCGAAAAUUACCAACCCGAACGGGGAGGUAGUGACAAUAAAUACUGAUACAGGGCUCUUUUGGGUCUUGUAAUUGGAAUGAGUACAAAUUAAAUCCCUUAACGAGGAACAACUGGAGGGCAAGUCUGGUGCCAGCAGCCGCGGUAAUUCCAGCUCCAGAAGCGUAUAUUAAAGUUGUUGCAGUUAAAAAGCUCGUAGUUGAAUUUUGGGCCUGGCUGGCCGGUCCGCCUCACCGCGUGCACUGGUCCGGCCGGGCCUUUCCUCCUGGGGAUCCGCAUGCCCUUUACUGGGUGUUGUUGGGGAACCAGGACUUUUACUUUGAAAAAAUUAGAGUGUUCAAAGCAGGCCUUUUGCUCGAAAUACAUUAGCAUGGAAUAAUACGA
rnacentral:rRNA from 1 species